GUAACCUCCUCGCUUUCCACACUCACCAUAGAACCCUUUUGACACAGACUGAAAAGACACUAAGGUUAUAUCCGUUUCCCCAUAUCCCAUAGAGCGGGAAACUUUCUUAAAUGAGUGGAAUUUCUUGUCAGGCACAUAAACAUUUUCUUGAUAAACUUCAUCAGCCAGAAGGACGAGACCUUCCUUCCUGCAGAAUUCUACAAUUUCCCGUUGGUUGGCCUCACCAAGAACCUGCCCAGUUGGGUUGCCCGGAUUGAUCACAACCAAAGCCCUAACAUCAAUACCCUUGGAUUUUGCAGUUUUCAACUGAUGCUCAAGCUCUGAGAUCUCAAGCCCCCAGCCUGUUUGUUCAUCAAGAUAAUAAGGAACAAGAGUUCCACCAUGGAGGGCGAUUGAAGCAGAGUAAAGAGGAUACUGGGGAAUGGGACAGAGAAUUCCAUCAUUCUCUGACCUGAUGAGCAGCUGCAUCAUCAUGUGAACCGCUGGGCUUGCACCAUCAGUCAAGAAAAGAUCGUUUGGAUCAGCAGGGAAACCAUCACGAGCUCCCAUA
rnacentral:misc_RNA from 1 species